AAAAUUAGUUGAGAGGUUCUUAGACGUGUAUUUUGGUACUUAAUCUGGGAAGUCACUUACAUUGAUUGUAAAUUUGUCCCUCACUCACAAACUAAAGGCCACCUGGAUGACAUAUGCCAUUCAUCGUUCAAGAAAAUCACAUGAUUCUACCAAAUUUGUGACAGUGCUUGACAUGUAAUACAUGUCCAAAAUUAGAUGUUACACGUAUAACGUCUUAAACUGGAAUUCCAGACGGGAAAUCCGGAACUACUUAUUACUAGCCUUUCGGUUUUUUCUAUUUUUAAUAAAAUGAAGCGUUUCUUCUUGCCGGAAAACUCUUAAGGAUUUUGCUAUGGAAUUCCAUGACUUCGCUGGCCAUUGAAAUCCUGUGCUUGGCUUGCG
rnacentral:lncRNA from 1 species